rnacentral:rRNA from 1 species
GAUGAACGCUGGCGGCGUGCCUAACACAUGCAAGUCGAGCGGCAGCGAGGGGUGCUUGCACCCUGUCGGCGAGCGGCGGACGGCUGAGUAACGCGUGGGAACGUGCCCCAAAGUGAGGAAUAACUGCCCGAAAGGGUAGCUAAUACCGCAUAUUAUCUUCGGAUCAAAGGAUUUAUCCGCUUUGGGAGCGGCUCGCGUCGGAUUAGGUAGUUGGUGAGGUAAUGGCUCACCAAGCCGACGAUCCGUAGCUGGUCUGAGAGGAUGACCAGCCAGACUGGAACUGAGACACGGUCCAGACUCCUACAGGAGGCAGCAGUGAGGAAUCUUCCACAAUGGGCGAAAGCCUGAUGGAGCAACGCCGCGUGCAGGACGAAGGCCUUCGGGUUGUAAACUGCUUUUAUAAGUGAGGAAUAUGACGGUAACUGAUGAAUAAGGAUCGGCUAACUACGUG